rnacentral:misc_RNA from 1 species
GAUGAAGAACGUAGCGAAAUGCGAUAAGUAAUGUGAAUUGCAGAAUUCAGUGAAUCAUCGAAUCUUUGAACGCACAUUGCGCCCGCCAGUAUUCUGGCGGGCAUGCCUGUUCGAGCGUCAUUUCAACCAUCAAGCCCCAGGCUUGUGUUGGGGACCUGCGGCUGCCGCAGGCCCUGAAAACCAGUGGCGGGCUCGCUGUCACACCGGGCGUAGUAGAUUUUAUCUCGCUCAGGGCGUGCUGCGGGUUCCGGCCGUUAAAAAGCCUUUUUUACCCAAGGUUGACCUCUGAUCAGGUAGGAAGACCCGCUGAACUUAAGCAUAUCAAUAGCGGAGGA